rnacentral:lncRNA from 1 species
CUGACACUAAGGGUCCCUUCCAGAGAGCAUCAGUGUCAUUGCAACAGGGGGACGAAAGCCCGUGAAAUCCUGUUUUUGGUCAAGUCCUCAUGAUUUUAUCUUUUAACCCAAAGCACAGUGUUUAUUUCUGCUGGGGUUGUUCCCACAAGGAGCUGAAGAACUGAAGCUGAAACUGCCUUUCAGGCUUCCCUGACCACCUUCCUACCCUACCCCAGAGGAAGUUUUCGGGGACCCUCAAGGAGCCACCUGCAGCCCUUCAUCAUUCUUUCCACUAAGCCUCACGGGCAAGGUCACCCUUCCUGCCUCCCUCCCAUGGGCUGACCUGGUGAUCCUCCAUGGAGAAUGCGUAGGAGCCGGAUAUUGGCACUGCCAGGUGGCAGAAAGAAAUGCCCACUCUCCGAGCACCAGCCAGGACGUGUGCUUAAGCCAACCUGUUCAUUCUUCCACCUGAUCCCUUAUGUAAUGUAACAUGCAUGUUUCAUCCACAAAAAUGAGCAGCGAAAUCCACCGACCCAGCAACAUGUUCCGAGACACGCAGGAGCCUUUUCCACGGAGCCAGCUCCCGGCCUUCCCCUCCAACAUCCACCCCGCGCUCGCGUAGCCCGGGCUCCUGCCAUUGCGCUGCCAGCUGGGCGGCACCUUUCAGGCGGGGAAAAGCGAAUCUUCUGCCGGACUGAUCAAGGCACAGCGCUUCUGUCCUGCCCUUUAUUUUUGCCCAAAUGCAUCUUGGUAUCACCGUCUGUAAUUGUUCCUUCAUCUCCCCCGUGGACAUGAAGUCGCUACAGCUUUGCAGAAGCAGCAUUAGCCUGAGAAGCAGCAAAGAAAAGCAGAGAGGCUUAGCGUCCCUCAGCCACAGAUUAAUGCCUCUUCAAAGACGCCAUCCAGAUGCGGCCGGCUCCGCGCCGGCUUCCCCGGCAACAGCUGGGGAGGCGCAUGGUGCCCCGCCUUCUGUUCCCCACGUUAUGAGCAGGAAUAAAAGCCGCCUCCUUAAUGGCCUGGGUUUGUGUUGGAGGCAUAAUUUUCUGUUGACAUUACAAAAGGGCAAGCUUCAUGUGUUUUCAUCACUGACAGAGAGACGAAGGUGAGUUGCUCUCCUAUCCACACCUCCUCCUCCUCUCCAGAGCCCACUGCACUCAAGAGCGGGACCCAGGCUCCUCGGGGCGUGUCCUCGGCGGUCCCUCGGCCUCACACAACAGUCAAAAGCAGCUGCUAACUUUCGACCUUACGUGAGGAGUGGCGAAAGCAUCCCAUUUGCUACCAGGGCAGAUUAUUUUUGGAGUUAAAAUAAAAGAAACACCAUUCUCAACUCACCGUUGCCCGUGGAUUCCAGUGGGUAGGAAUUAAAGCCUCUAAAAAGAGGCUGUGUGAUUUCCCGGGUGAAGUGUCAGAUUGUAAAGGGAUUCAGAACUACUCAUUCCAGUUCAGCAGAUUAGUAAGAACCAGAAUGCAUGGCCUCGAACAACCUCCCGGUGCCAGGAGAGUCUCUUUGAAGAACUCUGAGUAACAAAGGCCACCCCACGUUGAACCCCAGUUAUGAGCUACAGUCUUAUUGCCAAAUUAAGUUGAGAAUCUGUGAUCGUUUGGC